GUAAAUCCACAAACAUGAUCCCUUCUUUGUCUUCAUUCUCCAUCUUUAGCAGUUGAGUUGUCGUCAUGACCUGUUGCUCAGUGACAUCGCAGUUAAAACUUUAAAGACAUUUGGUAAUCGGCUAAGAGCAGGAAAUGUGUGGCAAACAAAUUAGUUCAUCGUAUGAAGCCCUCGGUGAUUGCGUGCUGAUAUAGGAGGGUCUGGGUAGUUUCGAUGGGAAGCGAAAAUAAGGUGUAUCAAAUUCCAGCUCCAUUUAAGCAGCAAGACAGAAGAGGAAACAAUAGAAGCCAACGCUCAUUCCUAAACUGGAUAGACCAGUUAGAGCAGGUAAAGGCAAACUGCCAGACUUGUCAGAGGAAAUGAAGACAGAGGCUGACUCCGUCUUUCAGAGCGUUAAAUGUGCUUUACGAGGAGGCAUCCACGACAUUACGGUACGAUACAGCCUUACAAAUGAAUAACCUGUCAGCAUUACGUGAUUAGUUUAACAAACAUUAUCAAUACGAUAUGUUCACGAGUUCAGAACUCAUUUGGCAACUUUUUUCAACAACCUGUUGAACUGUAAAGCCUUUAUCUGUUAAGCUUUUAUUUCCACAUUUACCCUCUUAUUCGCUUUUCUCUUUUGACUUUUCAACAUAGAGAUUCGCCUAAUUCAUGCGCUAUCUGUUGUGAGGUGGAUGGGACUGAGACGUAAAAUGUCUGCUCAUCCAUUUUUCUUUCGUCUGAGGUUCAGCUGCAAGUUGAGACAGAGCGCAGAGUUGGACAGAGCAGAGAGCGAAUUUCCGCUAGACAGAAUAUUAUUAUGUGUUCUAAGCUGCUAUUGGGAUAUUUUUAAGCAGCUGAGGGCUGUGGAAGUCGGGAAGGUGAGGGGAAAAUGGAGGGAAAAUGUCGACUGCAUACUGUACAGCGACGGCUGCAGAGCGAGGUGGAAGGCUGUGAUUGGUGGAAAGAGAAACAUUUGUUCAUUUCUUUCAUACACCUGAAUAGCUGCAAGUCACAUGAGUGCCAGUUGCUCCGCCAGUGUAUAGCAACAGGGCGGGAAGUGCGGAAUAGAAUUUCAACAGGGUGACAUUCAAUCACCGGGAAGCCAGAAGAGGUGAUAGACCCAUUUUAUGUUGUUUGUUCAUAUUUGAAUCACAGGUUUGAGUGUGUGUAGCUCUUAUCACCACUGCAGGUGAAAGGUGAAGUUAAACUGCGGUAUGAUUCAGGUGAUAGGGUGAAUGACACUGCAUUGUGGGCCAGGGCCUUGUUCUUUUUUAGAUAAAAAAAAAAAGAAAAUCAUGCUAUGCUAAUAUUUGAGGGAAAAAACAGUUUUCCCUUUUCAAUUAAAGUAACUACGAUUAGGUAAUAUAAUUAAAAGUGUUCCAUUUAAAAAAACCCAAAAAACAAAGUUAACACCAAGCCGGGGUGGGGGUGUGGGAGGAUGUAACACGUGUAAAACUACUCGGUCAGUAAGUAUAUGUUUAAAUAAGCAAACCCAGGAGCUUGAGUGGCACAUGGAUGAUAAGCAGUAUCAUGGCCUAAAUAUCACAGUUACCACGCUCCUCCUCAGCAGUCUGAAGGCCCAAUUAGGUGGCGCUGAGAUAAGGUCUGGAGUUAAAUAAGGUUUUGGGUUUCCCCGCCAUUGUUUUCUCACAAAGACGGCAACUAUUGAUUAAGGGCCAGGCCAGUUUACCUAUCGGGUUGUUCACUUCACAGCAGAGUCGCAUUCCAGCAGAGAGGGCAGAGUUACCUGAUCACGCCUCACUUCCAACAGGCAAAAAGCGUGGGUAGCCUUAAGCGGUUAAGACUCCCACUGCAUGCAGCUCUAUGUACAACAAUGGGAAAAAAUUCUGCAGUAUAUCGCCACGACUAGCAGAAGAGGAAGUAUUUGGACAAAAGGAGGUCAAACUGAGAGGACGUAGCGUUCGGUAAUAUAUUUGAGAAGUGACACGCGACAUGCUCUACUUUGAUCAGGUGAAAACUCAGAGGCCAUCCUUCCAGCCUGUUGAUAGGCGUCUUACCAGACAUGGUUAGAUGUAAUUAUUGGUGUCUAAUACUGUCUGGUAAUGCCGUCCAUUAAAUGGCAUUACCUUCUGCUCUCUUACUUCCCCUUCUCUCACUCUUGUGCAUCUGACAUGCAGUGUAUUGACAAAGGGCAGUCCAGACAAGGGCAUCAGCAUAUUAAUAGCAGUGGCAGAUGGGGCUGGAUGAUGAUGACUAUGGAACUAUGAUCCUUGCGCUGGAAGAUGGAUUGAUUUCUUGUAGUUUCUUCCAUGUGACUUGAGUCAGAGUUUCUCCACUGAGCAACUGUCCAGUAUAAGAUCGUUCUACUUACAGAGGGCUUUCUCACCUGUAAAUUAGUUUCUGGUAGGAAUGUUAAUGUGAAUGUCACAUAAAAAUGUAUUUUGUAACUUUUACUUGCUGACAGAUCUGUUUUCUUCAUGACUAAAUUCUGUCUGGAAACAUAGUAAAACAAUGUGCAUAGUUUCUGAAACUCUGUUGUCUAUAACAUACUGUACCUAAUGUUAACUGUAUUUACUGUGAUAUGAAGUUGUGUAAUGUAACAGAAGAAAUGAAAUAAAGUAGGAUCAAAUUUGAA
ensembl:lncRNA